AAAGUCUAAAGUAUAAGACCCGAAGCUGAGUGAUCUAACCAUGAGCAGGCUGAAAUAUACGUGGUAACACUAUUUGGAGGGCCGAACCCGUGUUUGUUGAAAAAAACUGGGAUGACUUGUGGUUAGGGGUGAAAGGCCAAUCAAACUCAGGUAUAGCUGGUUUUCUGCGAAAUAUAUUUUAGUAUAGCGUACAAAUUUUUUAAACGGGGUAAAUCUCUUUUGAAAUGCGGGGGGUCUAAUAGCUUUACUUAAUUUCGAAAAAAUAAGAAUACGUUUAUUAAACUUUUGUGCAGUCAGACUAUGGGCGCUAAGGUUCAUAGUCAAAAGGGAAACAGCCCAGAUUAUUUGAUAAAGGCUUAAAUUUUUUGUUAAGUGAUAAGACUGUGAAAGAAUGUUGACAGUUUUAAAGUAGGCUUGGAAGCAGCCAUCUUUUAAAGAAAGCGUAAUAGCUCAUUAACUAAAUUUUUUUGCGUCGAAAAUUUAUAGAGACUUAAAAAAAAACCUGAAUCAGUAAAAAAUGGUAGCAGAACGUUCUGUAUACUUGUGACGUUUAUUCGUAAGAAUAAAUUGAGGUAUCAGGAGUGAAAAUACUGGCAUGAGUAGCUAAAAACAAUGUUUAAUCAUUGUCACCGUAAGUCUAAGGUUUCCGAUACAACGUUUAAGGUUAUCGGAAUAAGCGAUCUCUAAAGCAAUUUACUAA
rnacentral:rRNA from 1 species